rnacentral:rRNA from 1 species
ACGCUGGCGGCGUGCUUAACACAUGCAAGUCGAACGGUGACGAAUGGAGCUUGCUCUGUUCUGAUCAGUGGCGAACGGGUGAGUAACACGUGAGUAACCUGCCCCUGACUCUGGAAUAACUUCGGGAAACCGAAGCUAAUACCGGAUAUGACACAGAGCCGCAUGGUUUCUGUGUGGAAAGUUUUCGGUUGGGAUGGACUCGCGGCCUAUCAGCUUGUUGGUGAGGUAAUGGCUCACCAAGGCGACGACGGGUAGCCGGCCUGAGAGGGCGACCGGCCACACUGGGACUGAGACACGGCCCAGACUCCUACGGGAGGCAGCAGUGGGGAAUAUUGCACAAUGGGCGAAAGCCUGAUGCAGCGACGCCGCGUGAGGGAUGAAGGCCUUCGGGUUGUAAACCUCUUUCAGUAGGGAAGAAGCGCAAGUGACGGUACCUACAGAAGAAGCACCGGCUAACUACGUG